UAAUGAGGGGAACUCAGGGAACUGAAACAUCUAAGUACCUGAAGGAAGAGAAAGAAAUUCGAUUCCGUAAGUAGCGGCGAGCGAACGCGGAUUAGCCCAAACCAAUAAAGUUUUCUUUAUUGGGGUUGCGGACAUAUCAUAACGAAGAGGUAUCGUAAUUGAAGAGGUUUGGAAAGACCCACCACAGAAGGUAAUAGUCCUGUAUGUUAAACGAGAAGACUUCAGAUAUGAUCCAGAGUACCACGG
rnacentral:rRNA from 1 species